rnacentral:rRNA from 1 species
UACGUGGGGUGCAAACGUUGCUCGGAAUUAUUGGGCGUAAAGCGCACGUAGGCGGCUCUCUAAGUCGCAUGUGAAAGCCCCAGGCUUAACCGGGGAACUGCGUCUGAUACUGGAUGGCUUGAGUUCGGGAGAGGGAUGCGGAAUUCCAGGUGUAGCGGUGAAAUGCGUAGAUAUCUGGAGGAACACCGGUGGCGAAGGCGGCAUCCUGGACCGACACUGACGCUGAGGAGCGAAAGCCAGGGGAGCAAAGCGGG